CUCACACUCAAGCACACACAAACACAAUCACACACACAGACCUCCUUCACACACACACAAACUCACACAAACAUACACAUGCGCACACACGCACAGUCAGCACAACAUGUCGUGAAAGAUCUUUGGACUCGGUAAUGCUCACCCCAUGCCAUCUACUUUACCGUGAUGUAUAAGGCACAUGGGCAUCAUGUGACACUUAGUAGUGUGGCUCUCUGUCCGUGACUCUGCUAAAGUGGGGAUGUUGUGUAACCGAUGUUGUAUAAGGAUAUGAAGCCAUGCUUAAAGCUCUUGAUCUGGGACCCCUGGACAGUGUCUCCUCCACAUUCCAUGUCUAUAAGUAACAGUCCAUCGCUGGUGUGGACAGUGGCCACUGUUAUUUUGGUUUGACAGAGGAAAGAUGCUGUUAAGUGUGCUGGAUUAGGAACUCCCAGGUCCUAGAAUGGGAGGCUGGGAGUCUCUCUCUCUCUCUCUCUCUCUCUCUUUCUCUCUCUCUCUCUCUCUCUCUCUCUCUCUCUCUCGCUCUCUCUCUCGCUCUCUCUCUCUCUGUCUCUCUCUCUCUGUCCCUCGCUCACUUUCUCUCUCUCUCUCUCUCUCUCUCUCUCUCUCUCUCUCUCCUUAACUGGCCUCUUGUUCAGGGCUCCACAGGGAACCUGUCUGUAAAUCUGUUUAGGCUAAAUGUUUGGGCUCGGACCAGAUCUAUUCUCUUGGGCAUUGAAAGAGACGGCUGGGACUUCUCAGGAUUAAUUAAAUCUUCCCUCCACCCCAUUUGUUAUGUUUCGAGUCAUACAAGAAUGUAACCAUGAUAUUAAAAUGUUGACAGAUUUUCAUAUUGAUUCUGAUUCAGAGGUGAUUCUAGAUGGUUAUUUUAUUAAUCCUGCUGCUUAUUAACCAGUUAUUACCCUGACUUGACUUUGCGAUCAACUAGGAGAGUGGGGACUCAGACGCAGUACUGGUGGCCCACCCAGAAGAACAGUGCAGCAGCACACCAACCUGUGGAACCACGCGCCUGUGGAAGGCUUUGUGUGCUGCAGUUUUUGGCUACACGAACACGUCCCAUAUGUAAACGCUGCGUGUGUGCCAGGAGCUAUGUAUGCGGAGAGAUGGUUUUAUUUGCAGUGCCUGAGUGGUUUCCCAUGAGUCAAUUCUGCAGAUAGGUAUGGCCCUGAGAUUUGAUGAAGACUCGAUGACAGAAUUUAAUACCUUUUCGUUUGUAUUUUCAUAACAGUCAAUGCAUUAAAAAGUCCAAAGGGAUUGGGUCAGCCUCUCUCAAUCAAAAGCCAAGACUUAUCCAGACACACUUGGACCAAGCAGGCAUUCAAAUUCACCGUUCAAGGAUAGGAAAGCAGGAGGAGUAACCCAUGACUUUCAAACACAAUGUUGUUUGACACCGUUCCUCAGUUAGACUAUUAUACACGUUUGUAUUUCCUUCUUAGCGAGUGUAUGUGUGUUGAGAUAGGAGCUAUCCAUCAGAGUUUAUAGGUGUCUGGUGAUGUGGCCAGCCUGUGGUUUCUCCCACCCGUGUGCGUCUGAGUGCCACUGGUUCUUUUUAUAGUGUUUACAGGCCCAUGAACCACUGAGCGCUCAGGCUUUUAAAGGGACGUUUUGGAUGGGGGGGGUGGGGGUGGGGGGGGGGGGGGGGGUGGUGGUGCUCUGUAGGGGCCACUAAACACGUGCCUCUGUUUACUCUGCAGUUCGCUAGGUUUAAAAGCACUUUUUACGGUUUCUAUUUUUACAUUUGUUGCGCCGUGAACUCAAUCUAUUUUCUUGGGGAUUUGAAUAUUUCUUUUGCCCAUGGUCGUUUUUUAGUUGUUCUAGAGUCACUUUUGUCCAUGAGAGGUUGGUUUGUGUCAGUAGAUCAGGGUAUGAGGGGCCUACUAUCAUUAUUGUGGCAGUGCACUAGAAAUAGAAAUGUCUCAAAUGAGACUUCACCAGAAUUGGAGAAUCAUCGUAUGAAUCAGGCAUUCCAAUUCAACUGUAAAGAUUAAGGCUCUUCUUGCUCAGGACAGCUAUGCAAACUAAGCUUAAACCUUCACUAGCCGUAGGGAUGUCAUAUUUGCAAUUCAACAGCAGGGCUUGCACGACACAUUUAAAAUUCUCAAUAAACACACAGAUGUCUUGAAAGACACCAUGAAAAUCAAAUUAGAUUUAUUAUGUGAACAUAUUUUUUUCCACAGUCACAUUAUCUUUGAACAAAGUAGGCCAUGUGCAGACAAUUGGUUUUGCUUUCAUUCGAACCUAAUCAGCAUCCUUAGCAGCUGAAAAUCUGUUAUGACAUUGGGCUUAACGUUUCAAUCAAGUUUUCGCUCCCUCUCUCAUAAGCCUGCCCUUGGCUCACAUCUGGCUACCAUGUUUUGGCACUUUGGUAUGAGCUGAUGAAAUCCUGGAGGAUGAACUGACAUUCCUCGGCCUUAUGCUAAUUAGACGGCUUUACUUGAAUACAUAAGCAUGUAAUAAUGCCAUCUAGGUUGAAAAGGGAAUCCCACUAUCCAUUUUGUAUUCCGAAAUAAGGAACUCAUUUGUCGGUUUCCCCAUCUGGAACCGAAAGGAUUCCGUUGCAGUAAAAGUUGAACAAGACGCAACGUGCGUUUUAUGGGUGAUCUUGUUGAUGCCAACGCAUACCCCUUUUUAUAUACUUUUCAAUCAUGCGCGACUGAAAAAAAGAUUCCUGCCUCACUUUGGCGGUGUAAGCCCGUAAGCUGCAACAUGUUUUCUGAGCUGUGAUACGGACAGCGCUGGAGAGAGAGAGGCAGUCGGCGGCCGUCAAAGAGUUACGCCAUCAUCAAAUUAGCUUACAGCGGUUGAAGUCCAUCAGCGCCAUCUCCGUGAAAAAGAUGUGUUCUGUCAUUUUUGACAGGUCAUGUGUGUGCGUCCCUGUGUGUAUGUGUGUGUGUGCGUGUGUGUGCUAUAAUGGCCAGACUCUUGGUCACACAGGCGUUAAGAGUCUUCCACGUAUACUGGCUAGUGCUCGACUGAGUCAUCGGUCAAGGGGGCUAUAGGGGCCUUCGCCUCACCUAGAGCCUUUUUACACUCUGUCGAGUUCAUCUGUUAUGGAUGCGAAGAUAUGACUGUUGAAUAACACAUGGCCAGAGAACUAAUGUGGCGCGUGUGCGUGUGGGUGUGUAUGUGUAUGCGUGUCUGUCUGUGUAUGACUGGAUAAUUCAUCAAGUAUUUAGUCCUUUUAACAAUCAAUCCUAUUAAGCACCUGCAAAAUCAUGAGACCAGAUGUUUGUUGACGCAUGCUUUGGACUACGGGGGUGAAACAGUAAAAAUAACUGUUAACAAUGCUCCUUUGCUUGGGGCUGUAGGCUCGCAGUAUCUCAGCACAGCUGUGGUUGGUUGCAAGUCCUUCUGUAGGCUACUUUUGACCUGACUUUUGACUUUGACUUUGACUGGAGACCAGAACAUAUCAGAGAAGCAAAGAGAGUAGAGGGAGGAUGUCGUAGCUUGUCUGUCAUUUCUGCAUGCGAGGGCAUGAUAGUUGUGAUUUUGUAAUAACCCUGAUGAGUACAAGAACAUACGUCGGAGCUAACACCCUGAAUCACAUGGGAACAGACAGGGACAUGCUCCGGGUAUGACAGUAAUGUGACAUGACUGCUAUUUAAAUAUUCCCUGAAGCCCUUCUCCAGAAAAUCCUUACUAUAAUAUUAUUUUAUUCUUUGAACAUUGAAUCGACUGGAGGAUACAAAUCAGGGUUUGUAUCCAGGGUUUAUACAGGGUUCUUAAAUCCAUAGAUGAUAUUAUCAUGUUUAAUUUAUCAUAUCUAAUAUUAUUUUGAACGCUGUAUUCUGUUUGCCAACUCCCAAAACCUAUACAUUUUCAUUUGUCAUUUGUUUCUUUAAUUUUCUCCUCUUUUCACCUCUUGGCCCAACACUUCCUACUGUUUGUUUUGUUAGAGACAUGAUACUUUAACACAGGAUUACACAAACCAAUUUUAGCUUCAUGUUUGCAGUUGGGGAUUGGGUAAGGUUCACUCAGUUCCCUCCACAAUAUAUUGUAAAUAUGUUGACCAUAUGCAGUACUAUUUACUGUAUAUUACUGUAGUAUGUUCAACUGGUUAAUACAGUUGAACAUGCUACAUAGGAUUUGUUACAUCUGUUCAUUCUAUUUCAUUUUUUUCCAAUUUAUUUCACAAGUGCAUCCUCUUUUAUGCAUGCAUUUUCUCUAAGGCAUACACUCAAGUAUACGUAUGUAUCAAGAUGAACUCCAGAGCAUUCGUACAGGUCCUUGGCUGACGAAGAUGCCAGACAUUGGUAUUUAACAUGGGCCUGUGGCUGUGGACUUCUCUCAGCACUGUUAUACAACCAAGAGCCUUCAACAAGGUACCAGGCCACGAGGACACGUAGUAGGACAAACUAUACUUCACGCGCAUGCUAUGUUUUUUAAUGGAAUACCCCUGUGGGACACCAUGCUGGAUAAAAUGGUCAUAAAUUAAGCUGAGAUCCACAGAAGAAGACAUUUUACAUGGGGUGACUGUCUGAAGAUUUGCUAAAAUACUAGGUGUUCUUUGACGAUUUUGAUACUUCUGCGAACUGCAAAAGUACAUGAUUGCCAACGGCCUAACCUAACACCAAAUGUCCUUAUUGUAUUCUAUCAGAGCUAUCUACUUUACCACACACAGGGAUGCAUCCAUAAAGCAUAGCACAUAUAGCUUUCUUAAAAGUACAGUAGAGCCGUGCAGUAAACAACAUCCAUUAUUCACCAAACAUCUGCUGUGUUAAUGAUCAAUAUGAUUGAUUUGAGUUCAUUUUUCCCAGCAGCCAACUGUUGUUGCUGUGUUUGUACUAUAAAGCGAGCCUUCACCCAGGCUGUAGUUAUGGAUACAGCUCUGGGUCCUGCCAGAGUCGCGGUUAAAAAACUCCCUGUGGCAUUGGGAGGAAACCAAUAAGACCGAUAGCUUAUGGCCCGCCGCGUUGGCCAAACAAUGAAUUCCAAUGUGGAAAACCUAUUGGACGCGAAUACCGAUGCUUCUCUUUUUUUUUUUUCAUACCACAUCUCUUGUGUUAAGAUCUCCCCGGGGGAUUUUACACAGACAGUAAAACCAAACUGUAGUGAACACCAGCUCGUGGCGCCCGUCCAUGAAUCCUUCCCCACCAUUUACACAUUAUUUUCAUAUUGAACCAAAUGCAACCCCUCUCUCCCCCCCCCCCCACCCCCCAGUCUCUCCCUGCCCUCCCCAGACCGCGGCCGUGUCAUGUGGGUUUACCGGCUGCAUGUCGGCUGGGCUAACCGCCGCACCUCCGUAUUAAAUGGAUGCGUUUCGUCUUCAAGAGAAAACCUAUAAAAAGGGGAAGAGAUCGGGUUAAAGGGCCCGUAGUUUAAUCACCUUUGCGGUGGAUUAAUAGUUCGAAGCCACUUCAAAAUAGAUCUGUGACAUCACAAGUGGGCGUGUUCCUAUCAUUUCCGAAUACACUUAAUUGGAUCCCGUAAAAUUCCAGAAGACAUUUUCACUGGCUGAAAUUUAGAGGGAAACGUUUUCAAUUAGAUGAUCCUAGUUCCAUUCAGAUCACCUCACCCACCUCUGCUCACUCAGCAUCCUUUUGUUUCUUUGAUGCCCCUGGAACCCCUGAGGCUUGGUGACUUGCCUUUCAUUUCAAAGCUGGGUCUGACCGGAAUACAUGCUUGAUUCAGUUAGAUGUAUCUAUCCUUAUUUUCUACUCAUUAAGUCCUCACUUUAACAUACAUGAACAUCCUGUUCAUGCAUUGUUUUUUUUGUUGCACACACACACACACGCACACACAAUACAUGACAUGGAUUUAUGAUGAUGACAUGAUUUAUAUAUAUAUAUAUAUAUAUAUAUAUAUAUAUAUAUAUAUAUAGGAGGCCGUGGGAAAGGGUUGUAGUUUGGGUUUGAGAGCAGAUUUGAGCUAUCCAUGUCUCAUGUGUUUUUCAUGUCUUGUUGUGUGAGAUGUUUUUGUUUGUGUGUCUUUUUCAAGGACCCCCUCAAAUACAAGAUAGUUCAUCUCAACGGGUUAAACCUUCAAUGCAUUACAUUUGUUUAGCUAUUACAGUCGGUCCAAUACCUUUUCAUCAAAUCUUUACAGUUUUGUUGUGAUCCACUGAUCUAUGUUGGCCAAACAUCAAGUCAAAUCCCCUUAGAGACAGGGUACCUGGUUGUUAACUUGUGAGAAGGACGGAGAACAACACUGAAAAAGCUAUAGCUUGUGUAUAUUUGAAACACAAAUGGCCAUGUUUGCAAAAUUCCAGUUCUCUAUGUUCAAAGAAGGCAUGUGGGUUUUAUUUCAAAUAAAAAGUCAUUUUUGAGUACGCAGCAGAUCCCAGGGUAUACUGGUGUCUGUCUCCAAAAGACAGCUGCUUCCAAUUGAUAGUGGCAUGGCAGAGAUAUAAAGAAAUCCAUAGUUCUAAUAAACCUGUAGGUUCUGAUUCAUGUCCUCAUGUCCGUACAUUUCUGUUCUUAGAGAGGGUCACGUUUUGGAUCCAACCAUUUCCAAGAGAGGAGAGGAGAGAUACAUAAAACUGAGCCACAUAUGCGAAGGACAAUAUCAACAUGGCAACUUGAAAAUGAGAUGUCAACCCUUUAUUUCACAAAUCAAAUGCAACAUGUAAAACGCAUGGUACCUUUCUAGUCAAACUGUAUAUUUCUUUAGCGAUUGUAAUGCAAGCGAAAAGUGCUGUAAAUGUAGACUAAUAAAACGUAGUUUUAUUAGUCUACAUUUAUAAUAAUAACUAGUUUUAGUUAGUUAUUAUUCUAAUCAUAACCCGUGAUCUUUCUUUAAAAUUGUAGCGUUGUGCAGUACCCACCUCAUUUAAGGAUGCAGGAGUCUUCCAGAGUCUUUUAUGCAUAAUAAUUAUACUUAGAAUAAGAAGGUAGAUCGCCCUAAACUCCCACCAAGUACAAACACAUGUCACAGCUUAAUUGACCCCAGAGGUGUGAGCUAACUAGCGAACAUGCAGUCGUCACAGUAAGGCGUCAGUGCUGCUUCAGGCCGUGGCUGAUGUUUUGGUGAGAGCGAAGUCACAAUAAAACAACUCCAUGACAACCAACCAUGUGCAUAUCCCGAAACCCGACGUGUGAUGUUUGCCUUAAAGGAACAUCGCCUCUUCCAACCUUGUUCUCUUCCCAUGUACCUCUUCCCCCCCCCCCCCCCCCCCCCCUGUUAAUACCUAGCCCUCGGUCUCGGGUCUAGACUGUCGGAACAGCUAAUGGAAGGUGGCGCAGGUAAACACAACGUAUAAAAACACACAGUCGGCGUUAACACACCUGCUGCUGCGGUGUGUGUCUUUCAGGGACAUUUCCUCUGCUGGCAGCGGGGGGCUGCAGGAUGUAGCGGGCUGCACAGUCACUGUGGAAUGCUGUGUCAACAGAGAGGGUCCCCGCAGGGCACGGGGGUUCAGGGCGCUGCCCACUUUACCAACCACCUCUGCGGCUUUUGAAGACACGCCGGGCUACCGUAACGGCAUGACCAGAUUUUUUCGUUUUUGACGUAGCGCAUUUCAUGAGUUUUCACAGCUGCUUUUCGAAAAAAACGAUUUGGAUCGUCUGCUCCAUUUGCCUCUGCCCUUUUUUAAACAAAAUGUCAUGGGUAGUGAAACCAGAGGGGGAUCGGGGUGUACCGCGACCGUACAAAGAAUGAGGCCUUUUUGUUGAGUUAUUGUAGCCCCGAGCGAGGAGACGGCUUGGGUACAACGAGUACGCGGUUUGCGAAUGUCAGUAGCGCUCUGGAGAACGACGGCCUUUCAGCGUUUCAGGCCUCUCAGCCAAAGUCACUCACACUGACGUUUCUCAGGGAUCCCAAGCGCUAGUAGUAACGUCCUGCGGCGUGAAGUCCCUGAAAAGGCAACAAACAGACCGAUCCUAUUGUUUACCGAUGACUCAUCGCUUUUUGUGACAGUAGCCAAAGAGGAAGACACAUGUCGGGUGUCAUUAUGGGAUUAAAGAUGAUUACUUUGAGAUGGCUAACGGUAGGGCUGGGGAAUGACUGUCAGCGGAUAUGUAAACGUUACUGCGUGAUGACAUGUUAUGACUUGUGUGGAGGAGAUGUGAUAUUUGUUUAAUUCACCCAAAAGUGUUUUGGGUGAAUUCUUUUUGCAUUCGUGUACUCCCUCCUUCCUGUUUGGAACCGGCGGUAAGCACUUCCCUGGUGUGUUUUUUUUGCGAACGAAACCCGGAUCAGCUCUGUGUUGAUUUGAAAUGUGUUGACACAUGAUUUCUAACAUGUAUAGUUUAGGGGUCAACCUACGAUAAAUUGCAAACUUUGAAAUGACGAAGGAGGAAAGCUCUCUUCCCAUACAAGGGCGAAUGAUUUGGACUGCAGCUGCAGUCCUUCUGAACUUAAAGCCUUUAAGAAAAAAGGCCAAUUGGUCCGGAAAUAGCCGUGCUUUCUUUUGACAGCGGGAACUCGUUUUUUGCUCUUGAUUGUGUGCUCUCCGCUCUGAUUUGAGCCACGGCUGCACAGUUUGUAGCAAAGAACGCAGACGCUUUAAAGCAAUUUACUGCUGACCCUAAUCUGUGGAGGGCCCAGCCUCACCAUCCGCUACUCUUGUAAUUGGGACCAAUUUGGCCAUGAGUACUUGGCCUUCAUUUCCUCCGCAAAGCCCUUCACAAUCAAUCUUUUUUACUUCUGUGUUUUCUUCUUCUAUCCAGAAAUAGACUUGUGAUAAAUAGUACACUCCUACUGCACUCCACACAUGAUGAAGAACAGAGGCAUUUCCCUUCAACGCAUUUUAACAUGUUAUGAACAACAUGCAUGUGUGAACACUCUAAACCGGCUGCAUGUGCUCAUCACCUCGAGUUCACUUAGCGACAGACCCCUACAAUCCAUCGGACGUCCUGCAUGUGCAGAAAUCCUCAAAGGCCCCCUUCACCCGAUGUGGUUCUGAAAGACCUCAUGGAAUGCUCUGAGCACGGGCCGUGUGUUUGUCAAUGGUUAUCUUCCCUUGUGGUGAUUGUGCUCGGUCUGCUUGCCGCCUUUGCUGAGUGCAGUAGUUAGUUGGGGAGGGAUGGGGAGAGGGACUGGGGUGAGGUUGGUGAGAGUUGCAGGGUUUGUGGUACUAAUGCCUCCCUACCACAACACACUGUGUCUGCUCUGGGUCACAACAACAAGCCUCUCACGAUUUGACGAUAUUUAUAGACUGCAGGGAAUGCCGUGAAUUCUUCUUCUCACAUCUAUUUGUUUUCUAACCCCCCCGAGGAGGAACACUGUUAGUUGCCUGUGACACCAGAGAGAGAGAGAGAGAGAGAGAGAGAGAGAGAGAGAGAGAGAGAGAGAGAGAGAGAGAGAGAGAGAGAGAGAGAGAGAGGAGAGAGAGAGAGAGAGAGAGAGAGAGAGAGAGAGAGAGAGAGAGAGAGAGAGAGAGAGAGAGAGAGAGAGAGAGAGAGAGAGAGAGUUAUUGCGACACCGCCCAUGCAAGUCCAAAGUUCUUACUAUCUCUGGCGGAAGGUCAAUGCUUAUUGUUUGCUCUGCCUGCCUUGUUAAGAUAAGAGCGUGAGUGUGUCUGACUAAAUAUAGGCCACUGCGGUAUGGUGCAUUGUCUUCCAUUUGUCCCUACAAGGAAUGGACUUUAGAGGUCUUAAUCUGUUGUCUCUCUCCUUCUCUCUCUCUAUCUCUGUCUCUCUUUCCAUCUCUCUCUCUGUGUCUCUGUCUGUCUCCCUCUGCUGCAAUAACAGACAUACAUGGUAAAGUGCAGGACAGAGGUGUGUGAGGAGAUUGCUGGAGCACUUUCAUUCAGCCAUAUGAGAAGAUGAUGUCGAUGUCAGCGAGUGUCCUCGGAGCCGAGGCCACCUCUAGCAGAUGUCAAAGCUCAGGGAGAAUGGCUGGCUGGCUGGGGGAAACACUUGGUGAUAGAAGGGAUAUAUGAGAGUUUGUCGUUUGCCUCGUGUUUGCAGUAUGUGGCUGUGUGUGCUCUAGCACACACAGCCACAUGUCUAGCAGAAGUGCGCGUGGAGUGUGUGGAGUGCAGUAGGAGUGUACACACAUAUUAACCUCCGCUGUGUUUUGACUUCCUCCCUUUGAAUUCUGAUCUCACUGAUAAGGGCAAAAAAUGGAAAGCAACUUGUCUCAUGACACGCACAGACACAGAUUCACACACACACACACACACACACACACACACACACACACACACACACACACACACACACACACACACACACAGACACACAGGCGCACGCACACACACACACACACACACACACACA